rnacentral:rRNA from 1 species
CAGGUGCAUGCCACUAGCAUGAAGUCAGACAAGUGAA